GACGAACGCUGGCGGCGUGCUUAACACAUGCAAGUCGAACGGUGAAGGGACCGGUUUUUGCUGGUUCUGGAUGAGUGGCGAACGGGUGAGUAACACGUGAGUAACCUGCCCCCUUCUUCUGGAUAACCGCAUGAAAGUGUGGCUAAUACGGGAUAUUCUGCGCCUGCUGCAUGGUGGGUGUGGGAAAGAUAUUGUUUCGGUGGGGGAUGGGCUCGCGGCCUAUCAGCUUGUUGGUGGGGUGAUGGCCUACCAAGGCGGUGACGGGCAGCCGGCCUGAGAGGGUGGACGGUCACACUGGGACUGGGAGACGGCACAGACUCCUACGGGAGGCAGCAGUGGGGAAUAGUGCACAAUGGGCGCAAGCCUGAUGCAGCGACGCCGCGUGAGGGAUGGAGGCCUUCGGGUUGUAAACCUCUUUCGCCAGUGAAGCAGGCCUGUCCCUUUUGUGGGUGGGUUGACGGUAGCUGGAUAAGAAGCGCCGGCUAACUACGUG
rnacentral:rRNA from 1 species